rnacentral:rRNA from 1 species
GACGACCGCUGGCGGCGUGCUUAACACAUGCAAGUCGAACGGAAAGGCCCUGCUUUUGUGGGGUGCUCGAGUGGCGAACGGGUGAGUAACACGUGAGUAACCUGCCCUUGACUUUGGGAUAACUUCAGGAAACUGGGGCUAAUACCGGAUAGGAGCUCCUGCUGCAUGGUGGGGGUUGGAAAGUUUCGGCGGUUGGGGAUGGACUCGCGGCUUAUCAGCUUGUUGGUGGGGUAGUGGCUUACCAAGGCUUUGACGGGUAGCCGGCCUGAGAGGGUGACCGGCCACAUUGGGACUGAGAUACGGCCCAGACUCCUACGGGAGGCAGCAGUGGGGAAUAUUGCACAAUGGGCGGAAGCCUGAUGCAGCAACGCCGCGUGCGGGAUGACGGCCUUCGGGUUGUAAACCGCUUUCGCCUGUGACGAAGCGUGAGUGACGGUAAUGGGUAAAGAAGCACCGGCUAACUACGUGCCAGCAGCCGCGGUGAUACGUAGGGUGCGAGCGUUGUCCGGAUUUAUUGGGCGUAAAGGGCUCGUAGGUGGUUGAUCGCGUCGGAAGUGUAAUCUUGGGGCUUAACCCUGAGCGUGCUUUCGAUACGGGUUGACUUGAGGAAGGUCUUGGAGAAUGGAAUUCCUGGUGGAGCGGUGGAAUGCGCAGAUAUCAGGAGGAACACCAGUGGCGAAGGCGGUUCUCUGGGCCUUUCCUGACGCUGAGGAGCGAAAGCGUGGGGAGCGAACAGGCUUAGAUACCCCGGUAGUCCACGCUGUAAACGGUGGGUACUAGGUGUGGGGUCCAUUCCACGGGUUCCGUGCCGUAGCUAACGCUUUAAGUACCCCGCCUGGGGAGUACGGCCGCAAGGCUAAAACUCAAAGGAAUUGACGGGGCCCCGCACAAGCGGCGGAGCAUGCGGAUUAAUUCGAUGCAACGCGUAGAACCUUACCUGGGUUUGAUAUGGAUCGGGAGUGCUCAGAGAUGGGUGUGCCUCUUUUGGGGUCGGUUCACAGGUGGUGCAUGGCUGUCGUCAGCUCGUGUCGUGAGAUGUUGGGUUAAGUCCCGCAACGAGCGCAACCCUUGUUCACUGUUGCCAGCACGUUAUGGUGGGGACUCAGUGGAGACCGCCGGGGUCAACUCGGAGGAAGGUGGGGAUGACGUCAAGUCAUCAUGCCCCUUAUGUCCAGGGCUUCACGCAUGCUACAAUGGCUGGUACAGAGAGUGGCGAGCCUGUGAGGGUGAGCGAAUCUCGGAAAGCCGGUCUCAGUUCGGAUUGGGGUCUGCAACUCGACCUCAUGAAGUCGGAGUCGCUAGUAAUCGCAGAUCAGCAACGCUGCGGUGAAUACGUUCCCGGGGCU